rfam:Canis lupus familiaris chromosome 11, whole genome shotgun sequence.
CAGGACCCGCUUCCCUCGUCGCUGAGGCAGGACCGACUUCCCUCAUGACCGAGGCAGACCCGGCUUCCCUCAUGACCGAGGCAGACCCGGCUUCC